GUUUUACUCUUGCUGCUUUCUUAUUUCUUUUGUUUUCAGAAGCUUGAAUAUGAUGUUUCUUUAUACGGAUUUGUUUGGACUGAUCCUGUGCAGGGUUUUUGUUCAUCUUCUUGAAUUCAUAGGCUUAUGUAUCUUGCAAAAUUUAGAAAAUUCCCAGACAUUAUUUCUUCAAGUACUUUUUCAGUCUUUAAAAAAAAAAAGUCUUUCUUUCUGUUUCCAGGACUUCCAUGACAUGGAUAUUAGAGCUUUUUGGUGUAGUGCUACAGUUUCCUGAGGAAUAGAGGUUGAUUCUUUUUUUAGUCUGUGUUCUCUAUGUUGUUCAGAUGAGGUGAUUUUUAUUUUUCUGUGCUUGAAUCUAUUUAUUCUUUCUCUAUCCUUUCCAUUUUAUCUCAAUGGAGAUAAUCCACUGAGAUUUCUUUGUGUGUGUGUGUGUGUGUGUGUGUGUGUGCAUACUGGGGAUCAAACUCAUGACCUUGUGCUUGCCAGGCAGACAUUUAUGCCCCUAAGCUAAAUCCCCAGCCCCAAGUUAUUGAGAUUUCAAAUUUGUUCAUUGCAUUUUUCUUUUCUAAAAUUUCUUUUUUGUUCUGUAUAGCUUCCGGGUUUUUGUUUGUAUUUCAACUCCACUUAUGUGGAAUAGAAGAAAGUAAUUUUAUUUCAAUCUUCUGGAAGCAGAAGUCCAUGUUUCUUUCUGUUUUACUCCGAAAAAUUUGUACGGGAUUGGUAUUGUUGCUCCUUUAAACAUUUGGUAGAUUUUUCCAAUGAGGCCAUGUAGGCCAGAGUUUUUCUUUGUUGGAAGAUUUUUAUGUAUGUGAUUUUUUUUUUGAAGCAGGGUCUCACUAUGUAGCCCAGGUUGGCCUUAAACUUGCUUAUGCAAACUAGGCUGGCCUUAAACUCAUGGCAAUCCUCCUGCUUCAGCCUUCUAAGUCCAAGAUUAUAGGAAUGUAUCACCAUCCCUGACUUGGAAGACUUUUAACUACAUUAAUAUAUUUAUGAUUACUUGGAUUGUGUAUUUCUCACUAAGUUUUGUGGCUUACGAUUUUUCAGGGAAUCUAUAGUCAAAUUUAUAGGCAUAAAUUUUUUUAACCUUCCUGCAUGUUAGGGUCUGUAGUGAUAGAUAUUUUUCUUCAGUAUUUGGGAUUGGACUCAGAGCCUUUACACUGAGCUACAUUCCCAGCUUUCAAAUUUUUUUCUUUUGAGAUGGGGUCUCAUUAUAUCACUAAGUUGUUCAGGUUAGGCUCAGACUUGCAGUCCUCCUGCCUCAGUUUUCCAGGGUGCUAGGGUUACAGGCAUGGGCCACCACACCUGGCUCGGUUCCCACCUUUAGUUUGCGCUUUUUUUGUUUUUUUUUUACUCAGUUAGAUAGUGAAAGACAAGCAUGAUAUCAGCUAAGAACUUUGGUACCCACUUAACGGACUGGAUCUUCUCAAUGGGUGGCUCUUUUGCCUUUGAGGGACUGAGGAUGCUUCUGCCAGCCCACAGGAUUUUGGCUUCCUGUAGUGCUGGUUCUCUCCAUGUGACGAUCCUGCUUUUCUGGGAUGUUGGUGACCUGCCUAUGAACUGGAGCUGGAAGUGAUGCUACCUCAAGACCAAGAAUUCCUAGAACCACAAAAAAAUGGAAGAGGCAAAGAAGGUUUCUGCCUUGGAGACUUCAGACCGAACGUGGCCCUGCUGCACCUUAAUUUUGGACUUCUGGCCUCCAGACUAUGAGACAAUAAAUUCAUAUUGUUUUAAA